UUGCAGAUGACACACAACUUUGUAAAGUAAUAAAAUGUGAGCAGGAUAUUGCUUUGCUGCAGAGAGAUUUGGAUAGAUUGGGGGACUGGGCACUAAAAUGGCAGAUGAAAUUUAACAAAUGCAAAGUUAUGCACUUCGGGGGUUAAGAAUGCACAAGCAACUUACACACUAAAUGGUAGUGAAUUAGGGAUAACCACACACGAGAAGGAUUUGGGAAUUGUUAUAGACAAC